UCGGAUUGCUAGGGUUUUAUGUGAUCUUCUCGUCCCUGGCUUGCAGCUCGGAUUCGACGAUGACCUUGUCGCGUGGCGGUACAAGGAUCUGAGGGAUUCACGCCAUGCCUUGGUUGGUCUGAACAGCUUUAUGAGCUACUACUUCCGUGCGGGUGAAAUGGAUUUUGCUUUCUUUAACUUUCUUGCUAUGGGCUGUCAGUCAGAUACGAUGACUACCUUAAUGAAACAAUUUUUCUUUAUCAAUGGGGUUGUGAAAGCUCUGUUGGAAAAGGGAUUUUAUCUCACGGAAGUUAGCUAUGUCACAUUGAUUUAUAUAUCUAAUUUAAUUUAUUAGAUUCUUCCCAUAUCAUAAAGUUGGUCUGAAGUGGAUUAAAAUCUGACCUAAUAAAUUAUGAGCUCAGUGAAGCCAUGGAUCUCUUUAAAGAGAUCUUAUGUACUUUGGAAAGAAUCUCAUGUGUGCAAGAUAAAAUUUUAGAGAAUCUCAUGUGUGCAAGAUAGUUUAAGAUUAGGCUUUUUAAUGAUCCACGAAAAGAAUAAACAUGAUACUCAAAAUUGAGAAGUUAGUCCAGCGGGUUGCAGAGGAAUGCUCAUUCCUUUUACUAUAUCUGCCGAGGCUUCUUCUUCUUAGCUAGUGGCGACGUCGGCCAUAAAAGUACUGUGGUGAUAGUCAUCCUUUGGGACAAUGUCUUUUCUCUCCACCAAUGCCCUCUUUGGACAACGGAGGGACUGAACCUAGUUCAUGGGGAUUAAGCACAGGUUAGAAGGGCUUGUUAAAUCUGUGUGGUUUAAUUCCAGAUGCAAGAACUUGUACUCGUCAAAUCAUCGCAGAGAAGAUACAAGAGAAUAAUAACUCUUUUAGAUUUUCAAUAUAAAAGAACUGAGAAAUUAUAAUGUCUUUCUCAAGAGGAUUUUCAAGAAAGUUGGAUGCAUGUCCCUUGCUUGGUAUUGGCAAGUUAGGCUAUUUAUUUUUGUUCUGUUUUAUGUCGUUGUAUAUUUUUAGCUAGUUUAGUCUGGUUGAUAUUAUAUUUAAGACUGGAGGAGUAUUUAUUUUUGUUUUCUGCUCAUCUCUUUGUAUCUUCAAUCAAAUGUAUACAUCAUUUGCUGACUUAAUAUUGAAUUUUUUUUUUUGUGAUGCCAGACACAAUUAAAA